rnacentral:rRNA from 1 species
GUUUGGGGCCAGCUUGAGCUGCAUAGCAAAACUGUGUCAAAAACCCAAGAGCACUCGGAAGCUAAGCAGGGUCGGGCCUGGUUAGUACUUGGAUGGGAGACCUCCUGGGAAUACCGGGUGCUGUAGGCU